GAUGAAGAACGCAGCGAAAUGCGAUAAGUAGUGUGAAUUGCAGAAUUCAGUGAAUCAUCGAAUCUUUGAACGCACAUUGCGCCCCCUGGUAUUCCGGGGGGCAUGCCUGUUCGAGCGUCAUUUCACCACUCAAGCCUCGCUUGGUAUUGGGCAACGCGGUCCGCCGCGUGCCUCAAAUCGACCGGCUGGGUCUUCUGUCCCCUAAGCGUUGUGGAAACUAUUCGCUAAAGGGUGUUCGGGAGGCUACGCCGUAAAACAACCCCAUUUCUAAGGUUGACCUCGGAUCAGGUAGGGAUACCCGCUGAACUUAAGCAUAUCAAUAAGCGGAGGA
rnacentral:misc_RNA from 1 species